GGUGGAGCAGCGGCGUCAGGAGCAGUGGGAGAAGCGGAGUCGGUAGCAGGACCGAUCAGCCUGGACAUGAAGAAACUAGCUCAUGGCAUAGCCUGUGAGGCGGAGAAGCUGGAGGAGGACAGGAAGAAGUUGGAGUGCCACAAUAAAUCUGAAAUGGGGCAAUUAUUGACCCCCCAGUACCGUACCCAACUGCAGAGGAAAGCACAGGAAGUUCAGGAGGAGCUGGGAUGUCCCCUUGUUUUUUAACUGCUGUGAAUUGACACGAUGGGUUCAUCCCUGUGCACCUGACCUCUGCUUGCAAUGUGUCUGUCAUCCACCAGGAGGCAGACCGCAGGAUCCUGGGAGUCCUGCUGGAGGGGGAGCAUUCGAUCUAAAUACCUUGAGAUUUGUACUAAAGACCUAUACUCCAUUGUUUGUUUUUGUUCUCGUACAGCAGGGGUGUCAAACUCAUUCCAUUCCUAGUGUCUGCGUGUUUUAGUUUUUUUCUUUCA